CAUUCCUGCAUUCACUGAUGGAGCAUUCUUUGAGCACCACUGCAUGCCUGGCCCUCCACUAGGCCUGCUACUUAAGAAGCAAGUGCCCUGAUAUCGUUCAGUUCACAGCCCCGAAGAGUAAAUGAAAGCAUAAUCAUGCAAAGAUAGAGCUUUAGUAGAGAGGAGAGUGAAGUAGCUCAGAAGCCAAGGGGGUUUAAAUCAGGGGGCUGCCAUAACCCAACUUGCAUUUAGAACCAUCACUCUGAUGGUAGCCAAGGGAGAAAAGGGCCAACAGGGAAAGGCCAGAGGCAGUGACCUUUGUGGAGAAAGUGAAGGGAGCACCUACGCCAGGUAAGGGAGGGAGCCUUAGUGCAGAAGGGGUGGGGGCUGGUGUGAGAGGCCCUAGGGAGGCAGAGCUGAGGGGGCUAGAAACCCCGGAUGUGGAAACUCAGGGGAAGGAGAACACAAAUCUACUUCAGGGUUUCUAGCCAAGGAAACUAGUGAGGGAAGGGUCCACUCGAUCCAGGUAGGGGGAGGCAAGAAAGGAGAGGUCUGGAAGCAAGUGGAGAAGAGAGCACUGGAUUCCAUCUGCUUACCUCCCACCCCGAGCUUUCCCUCUCCAGGGCCUGCUCCCCAGCAGACCUGCCGAACCGAAUGUAUUUGAAGGCUGGAAGCUGGGAAGUUCAUAGGCAGGACAGAAUACAUCUCCUGACUCUGCCCAUAUCUCUCAGACAGAACUUGGACACCAACAAGACCAGCCUGUUGGAACAAGCUCUCUCCUGGGGACCCAAGAACCACGUCUGGAGGAGCCCUCUGCCCUAAUGAGCUGACCCCCCAGGGCUGCAGCAGAUGAGAGAGUGUGAGUAACUCCAUGCAAAUCUCCUCCACCCAAAGCACUUGUGUUUCCUGGAAGGCUCAACCGUGCAUCUUCUCGUCGCUUUAAGGGCUGAGCAAUAUGCUGGAAAUGCUCACAGUUUCAAACACCAUUUUCUAGCAAUAAGCUCUGUGGUUAAAAAAGAAACAUCAUAAAAGGGUGAAUAGAUAAACGGACAAGACCUAUGACUUCAGGAUGCGUCAGAUUUCACUUUCUUGCUUUGAGGGAGGGGAGAAGGAUAAGCCCCACUCCUCUUCCUUGAAGAAAGAAGAGUUGGAUGAAUUCAGAUGGUGGAGAAAGGCUGAAUUCUGAAAUGUGUGUGCAUACAGUAAAAGGAAUUAGAGAGCCAGAUACACAAGUUCUCGGAGGGAGGCUGGAGAAGUACAGGAGGCCCCUAGGAGAGUGGCCAGGGUCAGGGCAAAGGUGAACUAAAGGACAGAGAGGAACAGUCUGGGCCGGGCACUGCCCCCAAGCCUGGACUCUGUGAUGAAAUGCAGAUACCAGAGGGGGGCAUUGCAGCAGGCCCUGAAGUGUCUGGCCACUCAUCAUUCCUUUCCUCUGUCCAUCCAUCCACUUAUUUAUUUGUCCACUCAUCCUUCCAUCCACCUGUCCGUCCAUCUGUCCAUCCCUCCAC
rnacentral:lncRNA from 1 species